UGUCUGUAAGUGGCACACUGCUCAGUAACACGUAGCUAACCUAACCUUAGGACGUUAAUACCCCCGAUAACUUGGGGCUAAUAAACGAUAGAUGUGAUGUCCUGGAAUGGUAUUACGUCUAAAGGUAUCCCAUACAUGUUUGGUAUACGCCUAAGGAUGGGGCUGCGGCCGAUCAGGCUGUUGGUGAGGUAAUGGCUCACCAAACCUUUGACCGGUACGGGCCAUGAGAGUGGUAGCCCGGAGAUGGACACUGAAACAAGGGUCCAGGCCCUACGGGGCGCAGCAGGCGCGAAACCUCCUCAAUGCACUAACGUGCGAAGGGGUUACCUCGAGUGCUAUCUGAAAAAGGUGGCUUUUCCUUGGUCUAAAACGCCUUGGGAAUAAGAGGGGGGCAAGACUGGUGUCAGCCGCCGCGGUAACACCAGCCCCUCGAGUGGUGGGGAUGAUUAUUUGGCCUAAAGCGUCCGUAGCCGGCCGGGUAAGUUUCCCGUUAAAUCCAACGUCUCAAGCGUUGGACUGCGGGAAAUACUGCCUGGCUAGAGAGUGGGAAAGGUCAGCGGUAUUCUGGGGGUAGGGGCGAAAUCCUUUGAUCCCCGGAGGACCACCAGUGGCGAAGGCUGCUGACUAGAACACGUCUGACGGUCAGGGACGAAAGCUGGGGUAGCGAACCGGAUUAGAUACCCGGGUAGUCCCAGCCGUAAACGAUGCAUGCUAGGUGUUGGGUUGGCCACGAGCCACCCCAGUGCCGCAGGGAAGCCGUUAAGCAUGCCGCCUGGGAAGUACGAUCGCAAGAUUGAAACUUAAAGGAAUUGGCGGGGGAGCACCACCAGGCGUGAAGCCUGCGGUUUAAUUGGAGUCAACGCCGGGAACCUUACCGGAAGCGACAGCAGAGUGAAGGCCAGAAUGAAGAUCUUGCCAGACGAGCUGAGAGGAGGUGCAUGGCCGUCGCCAGUUCGUGCCGUGAGGUGUUCUCUUAAGUGAGAUAACGAAACGGCAGGUCAGUAUGCCCCGAAUCUUCCGGGCCACACGCGGGCUGCAAUGGUAUGGACAGAGGGCUGCCACCCCGAGAGGGGGAGCCAAUCCCUAAACCAUACCUCAGUUGGGAUUGAGGGCUGCAACCCGCCCUCAUGAACAUGGAAUGCCUAGUAACUGCCAGUCAUCAUCUGGCGGUGAAUACGUCCCUGCUCCUUGCACACACUGCCCGUCGAACCACCCGAAUGAGGUUUGGGUGAGGAAUGGUCGAAUGUUGGCCGUUUCGAACCUGGGCCUUGUAAGGAGGGUUAAGUAGUAACAAGGUGGCCGUA
rnacentral:rRNA from 1 species